GACGAACGCUGGCGGCGUGCUUAACACAUGCAAGUCGAACGGAAAGGCCCUGCUUUUGUGGGGUGCUCGAUUGGCGAACGGGUGAGUAACACGUGAGUAACCUGCCCCUGACUUUGGGAUAACUUCUGGAAACUGGGGCUAAUACCGGAUAGGAGCUCCUGCUGCAUGGUGGGGGUUGGAAAGUUUCGGCGGUUGGGGAUGGACUCGCGGCUUAUCAGCUUGUUGGUGGGGUAGUGGCUUACCAAGGCUUUGACGGGUAGCCGGCCUGAGAGGGUGAACGGCCACAUUGGGACUGAGAUACGGACCAGACUCCUACGGGAGGCAGCAGUGGGGAAUAUUGCACAAUGGGCGGAAGCCUGAUGCAGCAACGCCGCGUGCGGGAUGACGGCCUUCGGGUUGUAAACCGCUUUCGCAUGUGACGAAGCGUGAGUGACGGUAAUGGGUAAAGAAGCACCGGCUAACUACGUG
rnacentral:rRNA from 1 species